UGAACCAGCCAAGUAGCGUGAAGGAUGACUGCCCUAUGGGUUGUAAACUUCUUUUAUACGGGAAUAAAGUUAGCCACGUGUCCCUUUUUGUAUGUACCUUAUGAAUAAGGAUCGGCUAACUCCGUGCCAGCGAGCCGCGGUAAUA
rnacentral:rRNA from 1 species